CUUCAGCAGAACUGUCUGCAGCCAGUAACCGGAACUUCCAGCUGCAGCCCCCACCCUACACUUGUGCCAGGGACUGAGAGGUCCUGCCCUACGAGGCGUCUGAACCCCUCUGUGUUUGGAGGAUUCCCUGCACCAUACCUCUUCAUGAAGGGCAAGGACUGUCCCCCAUACCAGAUGGAGCUGAAACUGCCAGAUAUUCACAUUCAAAGCCUAUCCUGCAGCUAGCACAUAGCCCUGUGACCCAGACGCCACCAAUUAGCCUCAGAACUGCUACUACCAACCGGAUGGGAGUCUUCUGAGAUAUAGUAGCUGCACACAUUUUCAGAGCUCCCGCGUGUAGAAGUGUGAUGGCCAUUUGAAUGUCGCUUUAAUUUCAACAGUGAUUGUAUUAUUCUUCAACAUGGAUAAAAUAUGUAAUUCCAA